UAUUUUCUUUUACUUAUUUUGGGUCUCCUAUUAGAUAGGGCUCAACCAAAUCGAAGUAAGUUCUAAUUGGGCACCAAGAUUUGGUGCACCCAGGCGUUAUUAACCACCUAAUCAGAUUAGGUUGAAGCAUUUGGUGCCCCGCAUGGUUUCUUCGCCAUGAUGAGAGGGCGCACGCCCAUAUGGAUAAGAUCCAUGUGUAUGUCACCCACUUGGAGAUAAGCAAGGGAGAGGGAAGGGGAUAAACCCCAUCCUCUUGCUGAUAAGGAUCAGAAGGAGAAUGUUAUAUCUAAAUUCAAAUUUAGAUUUAAAUUCAGAUUCAAAUUUGAAGUGUUUAAAUUCGAAUCGAGGGAGGAUUGGUUUAGGCAACAACCACCUUAUCCAAGUUCACGCCAAUCUGAUUUUUCUUUCACUUUUGUACGACAAAAUGAAGGAGAAAUUAGAUGGGGCGGUGCCUUAGUAGAGUCUUUCUACUUUAAGGCAUUUGAUCCGAUCAAAUGUCUAUAAAAGGGCUAUUGUCAAACAGUUUGACGAGAUGAAUGAUCAGAAGAAAAAUCUUAGAUCCCUCCUCUCAUAUCCAUGCCUCCUUUCCCUCUUCUCUCUGAUCUCUCCUUCUCUCCCAUGUCCAAAGGUGUUGGACGGCCCAUCUGGUGGUCUCGAGGCAUCGAGUUCCAUUCGAUUUACGUGAAGGAACAAGAAGACUGUGAUGAAGCAUUAAUCGGAACCCUGUCGGAGAUUAGUUCCAAGCCUGAUCCAAGAGUUUGCAAAUCCAUCUAGGAGUAGGUGGAUUGAAGAUGAAAAAGGUAUCCUAGUCUGAGCCUGAGUGGAUAUCUAUAGAUACUAGACACGUACGUAGCUCAACAGCAAACCUCACAACUCCACGAUCAUCGGGCUACGGAGUUCAUUUAUCGACGCAAGGUGAUGUGAUUAUCUUAUAAUCUAAUUUAAAUUGUUUAAAUUUCUAUUUUUUUCUUAAUCUAGAUGCAUGAUCGAUUUGACUAUGAUCGAAAUCAGAUCUUGAUCAAAUCGCACGUCAAAUUGAAAAGUUUUUGAAUUUCGCUGCACCCUGAUCUGAUCGAUUGGGCGUGCGAUCAUUCCUUCAGUUGGUAUCAGAGCCAGAUUUCGGAGAUCAUGCAUUUAAGAUUAAGAUUGGAUCUAAAUCAGAUUAGAUUGGAGUUGUGUUUAG
rnacentral:lncRNA from 1 species